rnacentral:lncRNA from 1 species
AUGAUCCCUACCCUUGAUCAAUGUAUGAUCUCCGGCAUAAAAAACCUCGGGUGAUGGCAACUACCGAUCACCAACUUCAAUAUAAUAAAAAUGUAGUUACAACUUCGGAUGAUAAUGAGCUGAGUACAAGGAUCACUGAGUGUCUAAGUGUUGAGAGUUGUGUCGUAUGUUGUGUGUGUUCUUCCGAAUGAGGAAGAUGGGUAUUUAUACAUGUGUAGGUAACUUAUUUUAGGUAGAUAGACCACUAAUCAGCUCAUCACCCCUUUAGAAAUAAAGAUAAUCUAGCCUAAAUUGCUGCCCUUAGAUCAAGCCAUGUUUCCAUAUCCGGCACAACGUUCAUCUUCAAUUCAGCUCUUGCCAUAUUUGUAAAAGCGCGUCCCUGGAUCAUGAUAUGUAGGGCAUAUCCUGCUAGAUAUUCCUGCAAAAUAAUGUUGUAGUAAUCGAAAAUGACCGUUAGUACUAGGAUCACCUCAAUGUCCCGUGAUCCUGAUCCUGAGGUCCGGCUGAGGAUCACUGCCU